GUUGUAUGGUUAAGUGACUAAGCGUACACGGUGGAUGCCUUGGCAGUCAGAGGCGAUGAAAGACGUAGUAACUUGCGAUAAGCCCAGAUUAGGUAGUAACAACCAUUUGAGUCUGGGAUUUCUGAAUGGGGAAACCCACUUACAUAAGUAAGUAUCAUUAACUGAAUACAUAGGUUAAUGAGGCGAACCGGGGGAACUGAAACAUCUAAGUACCCCGAGGAAAAGAAAUCAACCGAGAUUCCGAAAGUAGCGGCGAGCGAAAUUGGACUAGCCCUUA
rnacentral:rRNA from 1 species